CUCCAUACAAUUCCUUACCUGACCUAUAACGUUCAUCUCGAGAGCCUGAGGAUCUUCGGCGGUGGUAUCGAGAGGCUGAGGAAGGGGUGACAGGUGCCCGUCGUUCUUGAGGCAAAGCUUGGUCCACUCCUGGAUACAAGCUUUUCAUAACAGAGAUUGCCAGCUCCUGGCAGCACCCCAUUUCCUCCAAAGAAGACAGAGAAGGCUGAAGAAACUCCACCUGCAACUUGAUUCAUAAGUGGCAGCACUAGUCACUGAGAAAACCUGCCUUUCACCUCAACUGCUGCAAAGAGCUCCUCAUACCAUGGACAACAGGACACUGGAAUCGAUAGCCUCCGUAUUGUGCAGACAAUAGGAGGCUGGUCUUCAUUAAAAACUCCUACUCCACAGGAUCUUCUUUAUGUCAGGCAGGCCCUUGCCUGUGUUGACAGUAGAAGGCAAAUGUCCUAAAGCCUCUGCCCUCAACAACUGUGGAGGACUCUGGAAGUAGCUGUCCAAGUGGCCAGCUAGUCUAAGAAGUGCCAGAGAGUUCCAUACAACCUGGACACAAUGAAACACUCAGCUACCCCAGGAUAUGGCAGCACCCCAGCUUCCUCAGGUCCCCUGAAGAUGGUCGACACCCCCCAGGUCAUCAGGAAGUAGCCUCAAGAACUGGACAGCCUCAUUCCCUAACCUGCCACACCUAACUCCUCAACGUUUAAAUAAUAAACCUGCCACCUGGCAGAAUAUACUCAA